UACGUAGGGUGCAAGCGUUGUCCGGAAUUAUUGGGCGUAAAGAGCUCGUAGGCGGUCUGUCGCGUCUGCUGUGAAAACUCAGGGCUUAACCCUGAGCUUGCAGUGGGUACGGGCAGACUAGAGUGCGGUAGGGGAGACUGGAAUUCCUGGUGUAGCGGUGAAAUGCGCAGAUAUCAGGAGGAACACCCGUGGCGAAGGCGGCUCUCUGGGUCCGCCCUGACGCUGAGGCGCGAAAGCGUGGGGAGCGAACGGG
rnacentral:rRNA from 1 species